rnacentral:tRNA from 2 species
UGCCCCGUGGCUUAGUUGGUUACGGCGUCCGACUGUUAUUUCCAUAAGGCAUCGGAAGAUCGAGAGUUCAAGUCUCUCCGGGGCAG